AGGGGUUUUUUUGAGGGGUAUGUAAGAGCCGUUGGAUUUCAUCCAACGGUGAGUUUUUAAAAGAGGGUGCAUGUAGAACCGGGUUGAAAUCUGACCCGUUUGGAAACCCAACUUCAGCUGAAGAUUUUUCCCUCUCUGUGAAAAACUCAAGAACACAAUCCUCUCUUUUUUAAUGUAAUGCAAAUCCACAAUUAGAAAGAUCCAAAGCUCCCAAACUCUAUAAUCGCUCCAUUGUCAUCAGCUCCUUGGGAGGCCUGCGAUCUAUGGUAUCCUCGCAGAAGAGAUUCCAGAUGAAAGCAAAGUAGCAUAUCUCUUUUUCGUGCUGCUGCAGUUGUUCCUGGAUUUUGGUAGAGAUGGAGUCUCCACUACGAAAGAAUCCUCUCUAAUGUCCACCACAUUCUUUGAAGCUGACUGAGUUCGGAACUCCCGAUUGACUUUGAGAGUAAUAUAGAAGUAGAUCAAUAAUAUACGUGGAUAAAAUGUCUGGGGGCUCAGAGAGUGAUGACUCUGUAACAGCUAAUGGGAGGGUUUACAUUCCUGAAGUAAGAAAUGAGGAAACACCAGCAG